GGCACCUUCGUACACCCUCGACACGCAGGAAGCUCUCUGGAGUAGUUGGAGGACGAUGUACCUGAUUACUUCUUGUAAGGAGAUGAAGCGGCGACUGUGCCAGAAAGGCGGUAUACGGUAAACUAAAUUGAACUUUUUUAGCACAUUCUAUUUUGUGUAACAAGUGUUUGUCUUGACCGCAGGAACAAGAGCAUGUGCGUGCUCUUGGCCUUAACAAAGAGUUCGCGGCAUCACUGGCGCCACUGCAAGUGCAAAAAAAUGCAAGUCCCUGGAGAGGGCGUUCAGAAGAACGCAGGAAAAACAUAGGAAGUCUGGAGCGGCUGCCACACACUGCGAAUUUGAAGAGCAUCCAGAACCUGUGGAGCUGGAACCCGAGCCUAUGGGCAUUGAUGGCGCAAGGCCGGGCAUCGAUUCCGCUGGACCUUCCUACUGCAGUGAGGCCCCCCCAAAAAGAAAGAGAGCUCGGCAUUAGCCAAGCUUUUAGAGAAACUUGACUGCAUAAAACAAAAUACAGCAGCUUGCCUCAAAGAAAAAAUGCCGCUGCUGAAGCGUCUGGUUUACGCUUGUGAAAAAAAAAAAAUAAAGGGGCAAGGAUAUUUAUUUUU
rnacentral:lncRNA from 1 species